UGUUCCAGUCGCACGUGGCCGGCGCGUCGGGGCACGAGCUGCAGACAAAACGGAAAGACCGGUUACUCCAGUGGGUAAACUCAUUCUAGUCACUAUAGCCAGUAAAAAGAGAAGAAAUUGAAAACAAUGUAUUAUAUGCGGACAAUGCAGUUGUCUCACAGCUCCUGGCUUUCUUUCUUUAAAGCAGAAAUCACUGAUGGUACUGAUUCGCUAUAGUCGACAUAUUUGUGUCGAGAAAUUAGCGAGUGUAUUGGUAUUUAAAACAACUGUAGAUUUCUUCAAUCUCAGUUGCAUACUUUUAAUUACAUGACAUGUUUCGAUCUCUGUGGAUCAUCUUCAGGUACACGUAAUCUGAUAUGAGUUCCUGACGCUCACAAGACGGGUUGCUGACGCAACUACUUAGAUCUGAAGAUGAUCCAGAGAGAUCGAGACAUGUCAUGUGAUCAAAAAUAUGCAACUAAAACUGAAGAACAAAUGACAAUUGUUUUAGAUACUGAUUCAGCCGUUGCAUUGCAUCUCUUUGGACUAAUAGCUAACUACACGCAUUAGAUUCUCGUUAAAGUAGAAUCUCUGUUCCUUCAGGUAUUUGGUCAACUCCCCCUCCCCCUCAGAAGAUAAAAGUAGCUUGUUGUUCAAUGUAUGCUGCGUGCACAACGAUCAAGAGGUUCUAAUUUUUUCCAAGUGGAGUUAAAUCAGCAGGCGGCGCACUCUUUCUCAACAAAAUUUCCACAACGGAUGUGUAUGGGAGAGUGUCGUGUACAGUACUAAGUGAAAAGCUGAACUCAUGGGUCAAGUUGGGAUUUGUCAGCAGUUCGUGUUUCACAUACCAGCCAGCAACGUUCAUCUGCUACGAUCACUGUUACCGAUACUCAGAGACGAUUAUGCAAGAUAUAACCUCUUGAUUGUAUUCCUCAGCAGUUAAAAGACAAGCAUUGCCCACUUCUUAGAGAGAUUUUACUCUUUAGCCCUUCUCACCGUUCUGCCAGUUGGUACCUGCAGGUAAAAUAGGGCGUGUACAACGCAUCUGACAACUCAUUAUGUGACACUCUUAGUACGGGACCAUUUGAAUAUACCUGGAAGUAACAGAUACAGUAUAUUGUAUUUCAAUAUACUAAUGUACGUGCACUUCAAUUGUUGUCCAUAAUGUUCACGACAUAAGUGAACUAUUUGGCCAGCAAUGAAACCGAUCAUUUUUAUUGUCUCAUCAUAGUAGAUGUGAUCACUUCUAACAGUGCAUCAUAUCUACAUCGCACUGAUUUAAUAGAUUAUCGACAAGUUGUCGAAAGUGAUGGUCUCGUAGUGAAACUAGUGACUGGUAAAUGAGAAGAUCCUAGUUGAACAAUGGGAAUUUUUCACUCUGCCUUUAACCUAACUUUCACCUCUCAGUGACGUGAAGAUUCACCAGAAAUGUCUCGAGGUUCGCAUUCCACGUUAAACUGUAGGUCCUCUUUCCCCAGUAGGGCUACUAGGGCUGGUUAGGGAUACGGAAGUCGCCGAAGUGGCGUCCAGCUGAAAGACUUACAACAGGGCUUUGAACCACACGAAAUUAUCGUUACUAUUAUUGACAAGUUCCGCUUGUACUUUUAGCCAUUUCUGAUAAAGAAGAACGUACAGCUCCGGAAUUGCACUGAAUCAGCCAAAUGAGUCCCAGAUAUGUUCAACUGGGUUCAAGCAAGAGAAAAACGAUGCCUAUUCCUUCUGUAAAAUUGAGUGAGCCUUUAAUUGUACCAGCAUGAGGUAGAACGAAAUGUGUAAGGAUAGUAGCCCCCAUAUUUUGAGACUCCAGUGCCGGCAGUCUGAGAUAAUAGCCUGUGGUCUGGUUUUCUUUGAUUAAUCUGGCUGUACGUUAGUUACAUUAACAGUAGAAAAGAGCAGCUUAUGGCUGUAGGUUUCUCCUGUUUUCGGACAUAUUCAGUUAAUUCGAAACUAUUCGGCUACGACCAUGCAGCAAAUCGACUAUCUGUAACACUGAAACAAAAGUGAGAAUGGUAGUGUAUAGGGCUGUAGGUUUAUACCGUGGAUUGCAAGUUUGUCAACUCCGAACCCCCCCCCCCCCUCCCCCCAUCCCUUUUGAAGAAGAACUGUGUGGGAACGUAAAGUUUCAGGAAACAGCCAAGCCAUUAUGUUCAGCGAAUGCAGUCGUCAUUUAUUUUCGACAUUCCUAUCUGUGUACGCACGAGUGCAGCGAAAUGUUACUCCCCUGAAACAGUUAACAAGUAUUUCGCGAGCGUCGACUGCAUGAAAUCAUACUUGCUCUUUGCGUUCACGCAAUUGAGAAACUGUAAAAGAGCAAAACUUUAUUUGUAUCCGUUACAAAUGAGAAGCGUUCGACACAGUUUGUCAUUGCCGCUUAGUAAACAUUCCGUGCCUCUGGAAUAUCAGACCAGUUCAGCGGCUGGACAAUAAUUUCUUACUUUACAUCACUCAGCAUUUCGUUUUCCACGGAAAUACACUGCCAGAACAGAAAACGGUGUCAGUGUAACAGGACUGUGAGUGUACACCACGUGUAUAAAUUAUUUUGUGCAUAACAUGGCUCGCUCUUUGAGGAACUGGAAGAGCUUCAGAUCAUCAGCGUCUUGAACAAAAACUUCCUGCUAAUUCCAACGAAAACGAAGCAGUAUUAUGGGCGUAAAUAAGCCAAAACAGCGGAUAUAGUUUGAUUAUGUCAUAAUUAUUCACGCAGUAGAACAACAACCAUCAUGUAUCUACGUUUACCCUCCUGGAAUGAUUGAAGGGGGAAGAUGUUGGGUUGGUUGGGUUGUUUUGGGGAAGAGACCAAACUGCGAGGUCAUCGGUCUCAUCGGAUUAGGGAAGGACGGGGAAGGAAGUCGGCCGUGCCCUUUGAAAGGAACCAUCCCGGCAUUUGCCUGGAGCGAUUUAGGGAAAUCACGGAAAACCUAAAUCAGG